rnacentral:rRNA from 1 species
UACGAAGGGGGCUAGCGUUGCUCGGAAUCACUGGGCGUAAAGGGUGCGUAGGCGGGUCUUUAAGUCAGGGGUGAAAUCCUGGAGCUCAACUCCAGAACUGCCUUUGAUACUGAGGAUCUUGAGUUCGGGAGAGGUGAGUGGAACUGCGAGUGUAGAGGUGAAAUCGUAGAUAUCGCAAGAACACCAGUGGCGAAGGCGGCUCACUGGCCCGAUACUGACGCUGAGGCACGAAAAGCGUGGGGGAGCAAACAGG